rnacentral:rRNA from 1 species
AGAGUUUGAUCAUGGCUCAGAUUGAACGCUGGCGGCAUGCCUUACACAUGCAAGUCGAACGGUAACGGGCCUUCGGGUGCCGACGAGUGGCGAACGGGUGAGUAAUGCAUCGGAACGUACCUUCAGUGGGGGAUAACGUAGCGAAAGUUACGCUAAUACCGCAUAUUCUGUGAGCAGGAAAGCAGGGGAUCGCAAGACCUUGCGCUGAUUGAGCGGCCGAUGUCAGAUUAGCUAGUUGGUGAGGUAAAGGCUCACCAAGGCGACGAUCUGUAGCGGGUCUGAGAGGAUGAUCCGCCACACUGGAACUGAGACACGGUCCAGACUCCUACGGGAGGCAGCAGUGGGGAAUUUUGGACAAUGGGGCAACCCUGAUCCAGCCAUGCCGCGUGAGUGAAGAAGGCCUUCGGGUUGUAAAGCUCUUUCGGCCGGGAAGAAAUCGCAUGGGUUAAUACCCUGUGCGGAUGACGGUACCGGCAUAAGAAGCACCGGCUAACUACGUG